CCUACGGGUGGCAGCAGUAGGGAAUCUUCCACAAUGGGCGAAAGCCUGAUGGAGCAACGCCGCGUGGGUGAAGAAGGUCCUCGGAUCGUAAAACUCUGUUGUUAGAGAAGAAAGUGCGUGAGAGUAACUGUUCACGUUUCGACGGUAUCUAACCAGAAAGCCACGGCUAACUACGUGCCAGCAGCCGCGGUAAUACGUAGGUGGCAAGCGUUAUCCGGAUUUAUUGGGCGUAAAGGGAACGCAGGCGGUCUUUUAAGUCUGAUGUGAAAGCCUUCGGCUUAACCGGAAUAGUGCAUUGGAAACUGGGAGACUUGAGUGCAGAAGAGGAGAGUGGAACUCGAUGUGUAGCGGUGAAAUGCGUAGAUAUAUGGAAGAACACCAGUGGCGAAAGCGGCUCUCUGGUCUGUAACUGACGCUGAGGUUCGAAAGCGUGGGUAGCAAACAGGAUUAGAUACCCGUGUAGUC
rnacentral:rRNA from 1 species